rnacentral:rRNA from 1 species
CCUACGGGGUGCAGCAGUGAGGAAUAUUGGUCAAUGGGCUUACGCCUGAACCAGCCAAGUCGCGUGAGGGAAGACUGCCCUAUGGGUUGUAAACCUCUUUUGUCAGGGAGCAACGCCGGCUACGUGUAGCCGGACUGAGAGUACCUGAAGAAAAAGCAUCGGCUAACUCCGUGCCAGCAGCCGCGGUCAUACGGAGGAUGCGAGCGUUAUCCGGAUUUAUUGUGUUUAAAGGGUGCGUAGGCGGAAUGCCAAGUCAGCGGUAAAAUCGCGGGGCUCAACCUCGCUCCGCCGUUGAAACUGGCGUUCUUGAGUGGGCGAGAGGUAUGCGGAAUGCGUGGUGUAGCGGUGAAAUGCAUAGAUAUCACGCAGAACUCCGAUUGCGAAGGCAGCAUACCGGCGCCCAACUGACGCUGAAGCAAGAAAGCGUGGGGAUCGAACAGGAUUAGAUACCCUAGUAGUC